AACGUAGGUUGCGAGCGUUGUCCGGAAUUACUGGGCGUAAAGAGCUCGUAGGUGGUUUGUCGCGUUGUUUGUGAAAUCUCACGGCUUAACUGUGAGCGUGCGGGCGAUACGGGCAGACUAGAGUACUGCAGGGGAGACUGGAAUUCCUGGUGUAGCGGUGGAAUGCGCAGAUAUCAGGAGGAACACCGGUGGCGAAGGCGGGUCUCUGGGCAGUAACUGACGCUGAGGAGCGAAAGCGUGGGGAGCGAACAGG
rnacentral:rRNA from 1 species